rnacentral:miRNA from 1 species
GAUACCGAGCUCUGUCCUUGUG